CGGCAGGCCUAAUACAUGCAAGUCGAGGGGUAGAGAGAGCUUGCUUUCUUGAGACCGGCACACGGGUGCGUAACGCGUAUGCAACCUACCUUUAUCUGGGGGAUAGCCCGGAGAAAUCCGGAUUAAUACCGCAUAAAAUCACAGAAUAGCAUUAUUUAAUGAUCAAACAUUUAUGGGAUGAAGAUGGGCAUGCGUGUCAUUAGCUAGUUGGCGGGGUAACGGCCCACCAAGGCGACGAUGACUAGGGGAUCUGAGAGGAUGGCCCCCCACACUGGUACUGAGACACGGACCAGACUCCUACGGGAGGCAGCAGUAAGGAAUAUUGGUCAAUGGAGGCAACUCUGAACCAGCCAUGCCGCGUGCAGGAAGACUGCCCUAUGGGUUGUAAACUGCUUUUAUCCGGGAAUAAACCUUUCUACGUGUAGGAAGCUGAAUGUACCGGAAGAAUAAGGAUCGGCUAACUCCGUGCCAGCAGCCGCGGUAAUACGGAGGAUCCAAGCGUUAUCCGGAUUUAUUGGGUUUAAAGGGUGCGUAGGCGGCCUGUUAAGUCAGGGGUGAAAGACGGUAGCUCAACUAUCGCAGUGCCCUUGAUACUGAUGGGCUUGAAUGGACUAGAGGUAGGCGGAAUGAGACAAGUAGCGGUGAAAUGCAUAGAUAUGUCUCAGAACACCGAUUGCGAAGGCAGCUUACUAUGGUCUUAUUGACGCUGAGGCACGAAAGCGUGGGGAUCAAACAGGAUUAGAUACCCUGGUAGUCCACGCCCUAAACGAUGAACACUCGCUGUUGGCGAUACACAGUCAGCGGCUAAGCGAAAGCGUUAAGUGUUCCACCUGGGGAGUACGCCCGCAAGGGUGAAACUCAAAGGAAUUGACGGGGGCCCGCACAAGCGGAGGAGCAUGUGGUUUAAUUCGAUGAUACGCGAGGAACCUUACCCGGGCUUGAAAGUUAGUGAAUGAUCUAGAGAUAGAUCAGUGAGCAAUCACACGAAACUAGGUGCUGCAUGGCUGUCGUCAGCUCGUGCCGUGAGGUGUUGGGUUAAGUCCCGCAACGAGCGCAACCCCUAUGUUUAGUUGCCAGCAUGUAAUGAUGGGGACUCUAAACAGACUGCCUGUGCAAACAGAGAGGAAGGAGGGGACGACGUCAAGUCAUCAUGGCCCUUACGUCCGGGGCUACACACGUGCUACAAUGGAUGGUACAGAGGGCAGCUAGCUGGCAACAGUAUGCGAAUCUCACAAAGCCAUUCACAGUUCGGAUUGGGGUCUGCAACUCGACCCCAUGAAGUUGGAUUCGCUAGUAAUCGCGUAUCAGCAAUGACGCGGUGAAUACGUUCCCGGGCCUUGUACACACCGCCCGUCAAGCCAUGGAAGUUGGGGGUACCUAAAGUAUGUAACCGCAAGGAGCGUCCUAGGGUAAAACCGAUAACUGGGGCU
rnacentral:rRNA from 1 species